UACGAAGGGGGCUAGCGUUGUUCGGAAUUACUGGGCGUAAAGCGCGCGCAGGCGGUUCGAUAAGUUGGGGGUGAAAUCCCAGGGCUCAACCCAGGAAUGGCCUUCAAGACUGUCGAUCUAGAGGACGAGAGAGGUGAGUGGAAUUCCCAGUGUAGAGGUGAAAUUCGUAGAUAUUGGGAAGAACACCGGUGGCGAAGGCGGCCAUCUGGGACAACACUGACGCUGAAGCACGAAAGCGUGGGGAGCAAACAGG
rnacentral:rRNA from 1 species